rnacentral:rRNA from 1 species
UACGUAGGGGGCAAGCGUUGUCCGGAUUUAUUGGGCGUAAAGAGCGUGUAGGCGGCCAUGCAGGUCAGCUGUGAAAACUCGAGGCUCACCUCGAGACGUCGGUUGAAACCGUAUGGCUAGAGUCCGGAAGAGGAGAGUGGAAUUCCCGGUGUAGCGGUGAAAUGCGCAGAUAUCGGGAAGAACACCUAUGGCGAAGGCAGCUCUCUGGGACGGUACUGACGCUGAGACGCGAAAGCGUGGGGAGCGAACAGG